rnacentral:lncRNA from 1 species
CGGGAGGAGCGGAGGACGGCCAUUUUUAAGAAGAUGACCUCCAAGUACAAGGAGUGCCGUGCCAAGCACCGAACGCUGGUCGACUUUCUUAGCCAGGAUGGCGAGUUUUAGUCAUUUCAUGAUGGGCUCAAACAGAAGGACGAUGUGGUAAUGAAGAAAGAUGAAGAGCUGAGGGAGAGAGACGAUGAGCUUAUGAGGGCUAUCAGAAGGUGCAUCGAGCUUGAGGCAGCGCUAAAG